UUAAACUUAACUGAGUGAACUGAAUCGAUUUUAAGUCUGGAAUAUAAUCUAGAUCCAAAGUAGUGUUCAGUUGAAUUGAACAAUUAAUUAAUUGUCGGGUUAAAUUUUCCAUUAUUUAAAGGUCACAAUUAAGAUAAAUUAUCUGUUUGUUUUGGAUCGAUAAAAGAUUAGUUUGUAUACGAAUUCAUAGAGGGCGUUAAGGGUAUUGAGAAUUUUUUUCUCUUCUUUGAUUAAAUUGUUGAGUUAAUUGUUUUUGUUUCUCUAUUUUCUUAAUUAUCUCUUGUAACUUGAUUACUAUUAUCAUUGGAAUUAUUAUUUAUUCUGAAUCAUCCAUGUGUGGGUACUGAUUAAUUCUCUCAUGGUGGUUUGGAGUUAAUCUGAUGGUUGAAUAAUAAGGAAAUGGAUCAAGCCGACAAAUCAAAAUUGGAAUUGUAAAUCUAAACAAACCUGAAGCAAUUAACUCUCUCUCUCUCUCCUCUUGGAAUUAGAUUUAAUCAGUUAAAUAUUCCGUCAUUUCCUUAACAAUCAUCUUAACUGUCAUCUAUCAUUUGUCUCUAUCAUCGGAUCUAAAUCACUUUACCAGAAUCUAAAUGAAUCGGCUUGGAAACACCGAAGGAUAAUAUUCAUGUUAUACAAUCACAAAGUAACCAAGGAAAAUCACACAGAAGGAGAAUGGAAAAGCCAAUCAAGCUUGAUUUUCAAUUUUUCUUCCACCAAAUCAUUAACUCUUGGAUUUAUGGAUUCAUUUGACAAAAGGAAAAUUAUUUUCUAAUCAAGUUGACUAUUUAACCUCAUUAACUUUCUUAAUCACCGAUAAUACACCAAAGGAAAAGAGGAACCUGUUGAAAAGUAUAUGCACCAUGUACCAGGGGAAAUUGUUACCCAUCAUCAUCAACAUCUCCGAUUCAUGUAAUACAAUCAAACAUUAUUACCAAUGGUUUGAUUACCUUUUACUGCACCAAUUUACAGUAAUCAACAAUACAACUGCCACUAAUCAACAACGAUAAUAUCAUGAUGAUGGAAAGGAAAAGAGAAAGUUGUUCAAUUAAUUUCUUUGAUGAGGACGCCAAUGACUUUCUUUUUGCUUAAGUUAAUUGACUUGAUAAAGGUAAUCAUACUCAUUUGAGUAUGAAGUGAUCAGUUGAUUGUGGUUAAUGAUAAAUAACAAGAACCAGUUAUUUAUCAAACAAACAUACUCUGGCCUACCAAAGAUUUCAAUGUUUUCCAAUUGAUUAAAUUGCUUAUUGCUUUCCAUCAAAAGGCCAAUCAAAGGAUCAAAAACAAAAUCAACUCAACCAUUAACUCUCAUUAUAACCUUUGAUUUCUUGUUGAUUAUCAAUCGGUUUUCAUUAUUGGAAAAUCAUUUUCAUCAUGAUGAUAAUUUUUAUGAUUCUUUCAUUAUUAGAUUCAAAUCCUUUCUCAAAUGAAACAACAAUUUAACAUCCAUUAAUUGUUGUCGUUUGUCUGAAUGUGAGAUAAUUUAAAUAACAAAUGAGAUUUAAAUCGUAAAUUGUUUACAUUGAGGCGGUAAAUUCUCAACGAAACUCAAGAAUUAAGGUAAAUACAAUUAACAAUCAGGUAAAUAUACUCAUUUGAAAUGAUUACUAUUUCAUAAUUACACAAUUAAUAUCAUUGAUUUAGCGAUUAGAUGAAAGUUAAGUAUGCGUCAAGUGAAUCAUUGAGAUAUUUAUGGUAAACAAUUUAACCUAGAAAAUUGAAUUAACGUAACACACAUAAUUCAUUGCAAUCAAAUUAAUCAUCUAAAUCAUACACAUAUAAGAUAUUGAUGAUAUCAAGUAUUAGUUAAGUAUAAAAAAAUCCCGUUAUUUAUAAUUAACUAUUUUUAUCUUAAUCAGUCAAUUCAAUUCCGGGGAAAAAAAUGAUUUUCUUAAUUAAUUUGGUUAUCAUUCAUCUUACUCAUUCACUUACAAUCAAUGACAAUUAACUAAAUAACAUAUAAAUUAAUUUACUAUAAUAUUAACACACUAAUAAUAAGGCUUAUUAAGAGUCCCCGCAAUUUAAAUUAACCUUAAUCACAAUUAAUUUGAACACUUGAACAACUUUUCUCUCAAUAUAAAUAACAAUGAUCAUGAUUUAAGUUAAUUGUCAUGAUUUGUGUACGUUAAAGGAAAACAAAUAACCCAAACUAACAUUUAAUUGAUUUAUCUUUAGACAAUAACAACUAUCAUUUCCUCAACAAUUAAUAAAUCAUUUUGAUAAUAAUCUAAUCUUGUUUCCCACUGACAAUCAAACCAAUGAAAAAAAGUUUAAAUGUCCAAAAGGCAGUUAAUUGUUUUCCAUUAUAAUAAUAAUCACUUAAAUAAUAUAAAGCUUAUCAAUCAUGUCAAUCAAUUUUAAUUAUCAUGUUAACAGUAUAAUAAUUUGAAAAUUUAUUUACCUUUCACCUUAAAUAAUGAACAAUUUAAUUAAUCAACUUUCACACUGGGAAAAUGAUUGAUUCCAGGAAUCUUUAAUAUUCAAUAACUAAUUAGAAUGAUAUAAAUUUUUUUUUCUCUAUUCAAUUUAAUUAUAACAGAAUCAAAAGGAGAGAGAGAGAGAGACAACCACAGAGAGAUAAAAUGGAGAUGAAGACAAUCAACUGAUCAUAAUGGUAAAUCAUUAAUUAUAUUGAUGAUUAAAUCUAAAGCAAUUUAUCAACGGAUUGUUGAUUAGGAUUUUGGGAUGCGGAUCAUGAUUUGUUUUUUAUCAUUCAAAUGAAUCAACAUCUUUAAACAUUUACAUCUUUCCCUUUAAAAAAGGAUCAACUUAACUGUGAAUAUAUUAACACAUUAACCAUUUACAGUUUAUCAUCAUCAUCAUCAUCAUCAUCACAAGUAUGACUCAUUGAAUACUGAUGAGGAAAAGAUGAAGAUGAUGAUGACUUUCAGGGGAGAGAGAGAGAGAGAGACUAAACUCCCAAUUGCUAUCAUUAGGGGUCAAGAGUAAUGAAAAGAUGCUCCUUCCUCUGAAGAGCAUCCUCUUCAUCCUCCUCCUCAUCCUCUUCUUCAUCAUAACUGAACAUUUAUCCUCCUCCUCUCUCUUCAUCUUCCCCAUGACCAUUAGACCGGAGUAACAGCAAUUUAAACUUGUUAGUUAAAUUGAAGAGGUAACUUUCCUAAAUUAUAAUCAUCAUUAUCAUCAACCCAAUGGUGGUGGUGGUGAUAAUGAUGAUGAGUAGUUAGUAGUUAUCUUUUUAUUAUUAUUACUGUUGUGUUGUUGUUGUUGUUUUUUAUCUAUUGAUUGUAAUUUGAAGUUACUAAUUUAAUUAAUUGCUACCAAUCGUAACCAAUACCAUUUUCAUGGUUAAGUAUCAACUUAGAGUUAAAUUAGUGAAACCAGAAGAAUCCUUCAACUAAUCAUAAUCAAAUCAAUUGAUUGUUAUUGGUAAAAUUUCACUAUCCAUGUUAAUACAACAAUUUAAUCAAAGUUUUAUACUUUUUUUAUGAUUAACCUUUUCUCAUAUCAGUUGAAGUAAAAAACAAACAAACCUAAUAAUCACAAUUAAAUUAUUACCAUAAUUAGAAUUACUAUUAAUAUAAUGAUAAUUUUAAUUGUGUUGUAUUUUUAGAUUGUUGUGGUUAAUGUUUGUUUAAUGAUAAUCAUUAGUGUUUCGAUAAUAUCUUUUUGUUUCAUAAUUUGUUUGUAAUGUUAUCGAUUCCAAUCGAUUCCUAUGAGUAAUUCAGUAAUCGAAUGAGUCACCAAAUGCUCCCUUUUUGGUUAAUAUGUUUCCGCCUCCUUCUCAUCAUCAUCUGUCUUUCUCUCUAUCUCUCUCUUUGUUGAUAUUAUGUAAAAUAUCCCAUAGAUAUUUUUUCCCGCUUCAUGUGAAUUGUGAAUUUUUUUUCCUCCGUUUCAAAAGCUUCCGUUGCCAUCAUUGUCCAUCAAUUUUCAUCACAAAGAGAGAAAGUCUCAUUGAUGAUGCUGAUAAAGAUGAUGGAAUCAUCAUCACGCUCAUAGAUGAUUCUGACUCAUUUUUGAGUUUCAUCUCUAUCUGUCUUUUCCGUCCUCCCUUUCAUCAUCAUCAUCAUCUCUCUCUCUCUCUCUUUCCCUAUUUUCCCUCUUCCACUGCCUCCACAGCUUCAAUUGCUGUUUUCAUUUUAACUCAUGAAAGUUUAUCCUCCUUUUGUGAUGAUGAUGAUGAUAAUAAUAACAACAAACCCAAUAAUCCGUCAAAAAUGAACGUUAAGCCCAAUAGAGAAGAGGAAGGUUUCCCUUUGGAAGGCGCGUGCAAAGUCAAAGUUAAGGUCACCAACACAGAAGAAAAAGUCGAAUUGCAUCAAAGAGAUGAUGAUGAGCAUCAGACGAUGAUGAUGAUGAUGAUGAUGCAUAAAGAGUGAGAGAGAAAAAAGUGAGCAACUCACCUUCUCUCUCUUUCUCUCAUCCAGGUAAUACCGGAAUGUUGUCAAACAGGUUCCAUAAUCUUUUCUCAUAGGCUUUUCUUUCAAAUCUCUACAUCUACUCUCACCUUGAUUUCCACUUUCCUACCUUUAGAUUUUUCUCUCUUGACGUAACUUUCAUCUUCUCUUUCCCUCCCUAACCCACCUCAUCAUCAUCAUCAUCAUCAUCAUCUCUCUCUCUCUACCCUGUUUCCCUAGUUUCUUCAACCCACCUCACUUUUACCACCACAGACUAAUACAAAAGCCUUUUCACCAGACAGAGCAUGAUGAUGAUGAUGGGAUGAUGAUAAAACACUGACAAUCAGGUUUCUCUUUCCUAAUCUUCUUGAUUGUUUGCAAUUAAACAAUUCACCUUUAAUUUCAAUCCCCGAUAAUAAUAAAAAUGAACACAGUUACCGUUGAUUAUUUGUUUCCAAAUGAUCAUCAUUAUAUUAAUUAUCACAAUAAUAACAUUGUCCAUUUUUUUAUCGUUAUUAUCAUGAAGACAAAAAAUCCAUAAAUGUGACAAUAACAUUAUUUGGACAGUUGAUUGAACAACGACAAUAAUAAUAAUGAUAAUUAUCAAUUGUUAUUGUUGAUUAUUAUUUCUGUUUGAUAAUAAACACAGUAAAUAAGGAAACAAUAGCCAAUUGUAAACAAUUAAAUUACUUGAAUUUAAUAUUAACUGUUAAUGAUUUUUACAAUCAAACAUUUGCCUAAUGCUUUUUCAUUAUUGAAUUUAAUAUUUUAUUCAAUUCAAAUAUUUAAUUUAGUUUCACAUUCACUUAAAAAUUUUCACUGUUAUUAAUUAGUUUUUGUAUUAUUAUUAUGGUUGAGCUUAAUUAAUGUUUUCUGUUUUUAAUUGUUAUCAUUAACCCGCAAGGGAUGUUGAUGAUUUAAAUUUUUCAUUUGUCAUGAUUAUGGUUACGGUUAAGUUAAUCAACAUAAUGAAUGUUAAUUUAAUCAACGGACCAUUUGAGUGACAUUUUCAGUUUAAUUGCUCCUGAUGAUCAUUUGAUUCCUGCAAAUAAUUUAAAAAUAAUUUACAAUCAGUUAAUUAUCAUUGAAAAUUUGAAUCUUGAAAGUUUCAAUUGUUUAAUAAAAACACAAUUUAUUGAUUAAUCACUUUUAUUGGUACAAUUAACUGUUGAUUGUUUUGUUAAGAGUUGACAAAAAAUUCAAUUGAUAAAUUGUUGACAAUUGGGUUAACAAUUAAAAGUUUAUUGUUGGGAUUUUUAUUUUGAUGGAUCAAUUUUAUUAUUAAAUUAACUCAGCAAGUUUUCAACAAUUAACUAGCUGAUUGUUGUAUUUAUCAUAUACAGCAAGUGAUUAACUUGAUUUUCUGAAGCCUAAUUAAAUUGUCGCAAUUAAAAAGAAAGCCAAAGUUAAUUAGAUUUGAAAUGAUUCCAUGAUAACUAAAUCAACUAACUAACCAAUUAACUUCCUGUUACCCUGAGGAGUGGUGACAAUUAUAUUAUUAUAAUUGUAACAAUGAUAAAAUUUACACAGAGACAAUGAUUAUAACCUUUAUUUGUUAAUUGACAAGGACAAUCAACAAUGAUGAUUAUCAACAAUCAUCAGAAUGAUAUAAAUAGACACUUAAUCAACAUGAAACAUUGUCCUUGAUUGUUGAUCAUUUUUGUUUUGUUUUGUUUCAUCUUCUUCCUGAUAUUAUGUAUCUCAACAAUUGUUAAUCGUCCGUGAUCAUGAUUGUUAUCAUAAACUACCAGACAAUUAGUUUAAUUGUCGUGUAACUAGAUUAUGAUUAAACCUUAAUGAUUGUUGUAAUUGUUUUCAAUGAAUUACCAUGAUUACUAUUUAUCUUUAUGGGAUUUUUUGAAUACGUUCCUGGAAAAUAUUAAAUUGCUCAAAAAUGUAAACAAUUUACAAUCUAAUUAGUUAAUUGUUUGAGUUUAUUUUCUUGUGGAAAAAUAUUUCAAUGUUAGUAAUUUCAAUUGUAGAUUCAAUUUACUAAUUAUUAUUAAUAUUUUUUUUUCCAUACCAAUCAAAUAAUAAGUUAAUCAUUUUAAGUGUAACUUGAUUACUUUGAAAAAAUCUGAGUAAUUUAACCAAUCAGGAAAUUAAAACUCUUAAUUGUUACCAAUGGUGUUGAUUGUUAAGUCCAUUUGAAGGUUAUGAUGAUUAUUAUUAUAACAGGUUUGUUGUAACAGUUAACUAAUUGUUUACCUGAAUCAUUUGAUUUUCAAGUGAAUUUAAAUUGUCUGAAUGAAAAUGAAAUUAAAAACAAAACCUUGAAUUUGAAUACGUUUGUGAAACAAUUAACUUAUUACUCACAUUAAAUGAGUCAUUCCUGUGUUAAUAGUUAAUUAAUAGUUGAUUAAAUAUCCUUAUGAAUGAAAUGAGUGAAAUUACAAUCACAUAACAUAAUCAGCUGAUUACAAAAGCAAUUAAAUGAGUAACAAUUUAAAUAUUUACUUGUUUUACAAAGUUUAUCAUUCUCAAGUUUCUGAUAAUUGUAAUUUCCCGUUGUAAGAGUCAAUUGGGAUUCAUUGUAAGAAAUUAAUUCCACCAAUUCUCAUGAAUUUUAUAUCAAUUUUCAUGAGGAUGAAGAUGAAAACGAUUGUUAUUAUUACCUUUGUGAGUUAAUUUACUUUUUUUCUGCUUCUCUGUAACGAACUGAUAACCAAGAGAGAUGAUUAAAGAAUCGGUUCCAAUGAUUUACCACAAGUUACCCACUUCAUGGGAAUUGCUGGUGAUCAUCAGGAUAAUAACAAGGAUGAGGAUGGAAAAGUACAGUUAGUCUUUGGUUUUAUAUUUUCCAUAGAAAAGAAAACAUCAAAUCAAAUUGAGAUUCACUUCACGAACUUUUUAUUAUCAUUGAAAUUGUAUUUCUACAUUCAAUCGAAACCAAUACAAUUGUAAUUGUAUUCCAACAAUCAAUGUAAACAACAACAACAACAAUCAUUUAUUUCUGACAAUCAGCUGAAUGAUCAACAAUCAAUGGAUCUCAGGAAAUUAGUGUUUUCCAAUUUCAAGCUUAGUUAAAGUUGAGAAGUUGAAAUUUAUUGAAAUUGUUGAUUAGGUGAUUGAUCAAAUGUUUAAUUUCAAUUGAUUACCAUGAUGAUUAACUAACAUUUAUCAUGAAAUUUAGUAUCAGUUGUUGUUGUCUCUAGUUAAUUUUAAUUCUUGUCACUUGGUUACCAUUGAUUGUUAUCAAUCUAUUACUUGGGGUGAUUUCAGUUAUCAGGUAAAAUUUGAUUGCUGUGUGAUCGCAAUUUGUUUUGUCAAGAAAACUAAAACCUAAUCAUUAACUAACCAACAACAACAAUUAACAGAGACACUGACAAACACAAUCAAUGAUACCAACUGAUAACUGGACAGUAAGUAAUUUAUUAUUAACCUUUAAAUGGUUAAUACUGUUCAUCUCUCUACCUGUGGAUACCACUGAUAACCUUUACCACCCCCUAAGGGUUAAACCAUUAACUGACCUCAAACUGACCAUUAGAAAUUAGUCAAUCUAUUGGGUCACUUGAAGGUAACUUUCACAUUCCAAUUGACGUUGUACUUUCUUUUCCAGGUAAAAGGUAAAAGUAUAUUCGUUAAUUGUUGUUACCUUUAUUGUCCAAAUCUAAUCGACAUGGAAAUCGAUCAACGAUUCGGUCAGUCUAUUAUUCAAUUGUCCAAUUUGUGACAGAAGAUUAAAUUUAUUGACCAUUGGAUGAUGACCUAUGGCCCCCAGUUUCCAAUUGCAAUUUAUAAAUAACUGUAAUUACAAAAGUUUCCCUUGUUGACCUUUAAAAAUUUGAAAUACGAAAAAAAAAUGAGCAAAAAAAAAAGUUAACUGUUAAUUGUUGUUUUCCAAUAAAAUGAUUAAUUGCUCAACAUCAACAAUUAAACCAUGAAAAUUAAUGUUUAUGUAAUAAUAAUAAGUUAAUUUAAAACUUGAAAACAAAUCAUUUAAUGAUAAUUUCUCAGAUUUAAUAACAAUCAAAAACAAAAAGAUAAUCAUUUGGACAUGAUAAUAAUAACUGACCAUUAACUAUAACCAAUUGAUUUGAUUGUAAUCAUCUUUGUUUUUUUCCCAAACUGUAUCAUUAUAAAAUAUUAAUAUAUAUAUGAAAUUGUCUGAUUAUGAUUAACAAUUAACUGAUUAUUAUUGUUAUCCCAGGGCAGAGCAAUUUACCAUUAAAUUAAAUAUCACAUUGACAUUAUGAUUAAGUAUCACAAUAAAUAC